UGGGUCGUCCAGGCGGUCGCGUCAUCGUUAGGCGAGAGCCGUACGGUGCCGAGGAACGUCCGGGCUCCGCAGAGCAGGGUGGUGGGUAACGCCCACCCGGGGUAACCCGCGGGAACAGUGCCACAGAAAACAGACCGCCGCCGGAUACGCCAUCGGCCGUUCGGCGGUAAGGGUGAAACGGUGGUGUAAGAGACCACCAGCGAAUCAGGUGACUGAUUCGGCUAGGUAAACCCCGCCCGGAGCAAGGUCAGACAGACAGCGUUUGAGGGCUGCUCGCCCGAGUUGUUGGGUGGACUGCUGGAAAGUGCCGGUAACGGCGCUUCGAGAUAGAUGACCGCCACCCAUGUCGGGCAACCGCACAUGGGCACAGAACCCGGCGUACCGGGCGACCCAUCCG
rnacentral:RNase_P_RNA from 1 species